rnacentral:rRNA from 1 species
GAUGUUAGCGGCGGACGGGUGAGUAACACGUGGGUAACCUGCCUGUAAGACUGGGAUAACUCCGGGAAACCGGGGCUAAUACCGGAUGGUUGUCUGAACCGCAUGGUUCAGACAUAAAAGGUGGCUUCGGCUACCACUUACAGAUGGACCCGCGGCGCAUUAGCUAGUUGGUGAGGUAACGGCUCACCAAGGCGACGAUGCGUAGCCGACCUGAGAGGGUGAUCGGCCACACUGGGACUGAGACACGGCCCAGACUCCUACGGGAGGCAGCAGUAGGGAAUCUUCCGCAAUGGACGAAAGUCUGACGGAGCAACGCCGCGUGAGUGAUGAAGGUUUUCGGAUCGUAAAGCUCUGUUGUUAGGGAAGAACAAGUGCCGUUCAAAUAGGGCGGCACCUUGACGGUACCUAACCAGAAAGCCACGGCUAACUACGUGCCAGCAGCCGCGGUAAUACGUAGGUGGCAAGCGUUGUCCGGAAUUAUUGGGCGUAAAGGGCUCGCAGGCGGUUUCUUAAGUCUGAUGUGAAAGCCCCCGGCUCAACCGGGGAGGGUCAUUGGAAACUGGGGAACUUGAGUGCAGAAGAGGAGAGUGGAAUUCCACGUGUAGCGGUGAAAUGCGUAGAGAUGUGGAGGAACACCAGUGGCGAAGGCGACUCUCUGGUCUGUAACUGACGCUGAGGAGCGAAAGCGUGGGGAGCGAACAGGAUUAGAUACCCUGGUAGUCCACGCCGUAAACGAUGAGUGCUAAGUGUUAGGGGGUUUCCGCCCCUUAGUGCUGCAGCUAACGCAUUAAGCACUCCGCCUGGGGAGUACGGUCGCAAGACUGAAACUCAAAGGAAUUGACGGGGGCCCGCACAAGCGGUGGAGCAUGUGGUUUAAUUCGAAGCAACGCGAAGAACCUUACCAGGUCUUGACAUCCUCUGACAAUCCUAGAGAUAGGACGUCCCCUUCGGGGGCAGAGUGACAGGUGGUGCAUGGUUGUCGUCAGCUCGUGUCGUGAGAUGUUGGGUUAAGUCCCGCAACGAGCGCAACCCUUGAUCUUAGUUGCCAGCAUUCAGUUGGGCACUCUAAGGUGACUGCCGGUGACAAACCGGAGGAAGGUGGGGAUGACGUCAAAUCAUCAUGCCCCUUAUGACCUGGGCUACACACGUGCUACAAUGGACAGAACAAAGGGCAGCGAAACCGCGAGGUUAAGCCAAUCCCACAAAUCUGUUCUCAGUUCGGAUCGCAGUCUGCAACUCGACUGCGUGAAGCUGGAAUCGCUAG